GAAUGAUGACGACGACGACGAUGAUGAUGAUGAUGAUAAUUAUUGUUGUUGUUACUAUUAUCAUCAUCAUCAUCAUCAUCAUCAUCAUCGUCAUCGUCG
rnacentral:pre_miRNA from 1 species